rnacentral:rRNA from 1 species
CCUACGGGUGGCUGCAGUGGGGAAUAUUGGACAAUGGGCGAAAGCCUGAUCCAGCCAUGCCGCGUGUGUGAAGAAGGCCUUCGGGUUGUAAAGCACUUUCAGUGGGGAAGAAAGCCUUGGGGCUAAUACCCUCGAGGAAGGACAUCACCCACAGAAGAAGCACCGGCUAACUCCGUGCCAGCAGCCGCGGUAAUACGGAGGGUGCGAGCGUUAAUCGGAAUUACUGGGCGUAAAGCGCGCGUAGGCGGUCUGAUAAGCCGGUUGUGAAAGCCCCGGGCUCAACCUGGGAACGGCAUCCGGAACUGUCAGGCUAGAGUGCAGGAGAGGAAGGUAGAGUUCCCGGUGUAGCGGUGAAAUGCGUAGAGAUCGGGAGGAAUACCAGUGGCGAAGGCGGCCUUCUGGACUGACACUGACGCUGAGGUGCGAAAGCGUGGGUAGCAAACAGGAUUAGAUACCCCAGUAGUC